rfam:Canis lupus familiaris chromosome 2, whole genome shotgun sequence.
GCCUGGGUGACUCAGUGGUUAAGUGUCUGCCUUUGACUCAGAUCGUGAUCCUGGAGUCCUGGGAUCGAGUCCCAAAUCAGGCU